rnacentral:lncRNA from 1 species
AGAGAACAAACUACCAAUUAACGAGCGAGGAAACAGGGCCAGAGAAUUGGAACAAAAUACAAGGCUGCCUCUGAAAGGAAUAUCUUUGUGCUGAUGUGUCCAUCAAGAGAACAUACACAGAAGUGACACUUGCCAGUAAUUUGCAAGCAGAUGGAACUUCAAUAUGGCAAUAGAGAAAGAAUCAAUUAGACCAGAGUCUCCUCAGGAAGACUUUCUAUAGAUAUCUGGUGAGCAUCUGCUAGAUGCCAGGGUUGGGGAGAGUCAAGUUGAAGCAAGCAUGAACCCUCAAGGACCUACCAUUUCAAGGCAAGAAAUAGAUACAAAUACAGAAAAUAUUUACUGGAUAGCUACUAGACAUAAGGAUGCAGAAAUGAAUUAGAAAAAUUCCUCGCCCUUGUUCAAAGCUAUGCUGGCUCUUAGAACAUCUGAGCCCCCACUGUUUCAUCUUUAGAGGAUCCCAGCUGCUGGGGUGUGAGGCCAGUGCUGGAGCCAGCAGUCUCUGACCCAGAAGGGACCUGAGGUGCUAAAGAAAACAGGCUUGCUUUGCCUAUUCAUACUUAUUACCUAAUAAAUGCAAAAUGGUUGCUGAAGCUCCAGAUGCCACAUCUGUGUCCAAGGGGGGUACAAGCUGGAAAAGGGGAAAAUGAAUCAUGCUACAGGCCAAGUGUCCAUCACUGAUUCCCAGAGAUGCCCUUUGUGUGGUAGGCACUUCCAUGUGGACUCGCUACAGAGGUCAUAAGACCCUAAUUCCAGAGGGCCCUACCCUAUAACCAGAAGGAAGAACUAUUGCACAGAGAAUCUAAGAAGAAUCUAGACAGACAGCCCUUGCUGGAUUUCUCCACUCUGUUAGCAUUCGAUCAUUUGCCUUUUGUCCAGUCAUAUUUCUGCAUGGCUGUCCAUACUUUGUUGAACCUAAGCACAAAAUGGAAAGUUUUCCCUGUAUCUUUGGGUCGUCAUUCUGAAGGCUCCCAUGUUAUGUAAAACUAUGAUCAAAUAAAUAUGCAUGCCUUUUCUCCUAUAA